UGAGAUGUCCUGUUAAGUCAGGUAACGAGCGAGAUCCCUGCCUNUAGUUGCCACCAUUACUCUCAGGAGUAGUGGGGNGAAUNAGCGGGACCGCCGCAGUUAAUGCGGAGGAAGGAAGGGGCCACGGCAGGUCAGUAUGCCCCGAAACUCUGGGGCCACACGCGGGCUGCAAUGGUAACGACAAUGGGUUUCGAAUCCGAAAGGAUGAGGUAAUCCUCAAACGUUACCACAGUUAUGACUGAGGGCUGCAACUCGCCCUCACGAAUAUGGAAUCCCUAGUAACUGCGUGUCAUUAUCGCGCGGUGAAUACGUCCCUGCUCCUUGCACACACCGCCCGUCGUUUCAUUGAAGUGAGCUCUUAGCGAGGUGACGUCUGAUUGGCGUUAUCGAACUUGGGGUUCGUGACAAGGGAAAAGUCGUAACAAGGUAACC
rnacentral:rRNA from 1 species